rnacentral:rRNA from 1 species
GACGAACGCUGGCGGCGUGCCUAAUACAUGCAAGUCGAACGCAGUGGGGACGGGUGAGUAACACGUGGGUCACCUCCCAUCAGAGGGGAUAACACCUGGAAACAGGUGCUAAACCGAUACUGUUGGAUGCACCCGCGGUGCAUUAGCUCGUUGGUGAGGUAACGGCUCACCAAGGCCACGAUGCGUAGCCGGCCUGAGAGGGUGAUCGGCCACACUGGGACUGAGACACGGCCCGAACUCCUACGGGAGGCAGCAGUAGGGAAUCUUGGACAAUGGGCGAAAGUCUGACCGAGCGACGCCGCGUGGGUGAAGAAGGUUUUCGGAUCGUAAAGCUCUGUUGUUGGAGAAGCGGUAUCUAACCAAAAAGCCACGGCUAACUACGUGCCAGCCGCCGCGGUAAUUC